CUUGCUCCACCGGAAAAAGAGGAGUGGCGAACGGGUGAGUAACACGUGGGUAACCUGCCCAUCAGAAGGGGAUAACACUUGGAAACAGGUGCUAAUACCGUAUAACAAUCAAAACCGCAUGGUUUUGAUUUGAAUGGCGCUUUCGGGUGUCGCUGAUGGAUGGACCCGCGGUGCAUUAGCUAGUUGGUGAGGUAACGGCUCACCAAGGCCACGAUGCAUAGCCGACCUGAGAGGGUGAUCGGCCACAUUGGGACUGAGACACGGCCCAAACUCCUACGGGAGGCAGCAGUAGGGAAUCUUCGGCAAUGGACGAAAGUCUGACCGAGCAACGCCGCGUGAGUGAAGAAGGUUUUCGGAUCGUAAAACUCUGUUGUUAGAGAAGAACAAGGAUGAGAGUAACUGUUCAUCCCUUGACGGUAUCUAACCAGAAAGCCACGGCUAACUACGUGCCAGCAGCCGCGGUAAUACGUAGGUGGCAAGCGUUGUCCGGAUUUAUUGGGCGUAAAGCGAGCGCAGGCGGUUUCUUAAGUCUGAUGUGAAAGCCCCCGGCUCAACCGGGGAGGGUCAUUGGAAACUGGGAGACUUGAGUGCAGAAGAGGAGAGUGGAAUUCCAUGUGUAGCGGUGAAAUGCGUAGAUAUAUGGAGGAACACC
rnacentral:rRNA from 1 species